UCCUCAAAAAAAUAUUUGGUAAAAACAUACAAAACUUAUCUAAACUAUGAGUUAUACUCCACCUUUCAAAAUCUAGAUUUUACUACCCAACCUUUUAGUUUAUUUGACUUGAUUUAGCCAACGAAAUUUGAAUACGUUGUUUAUCUUUACAGGUUUAGUUAGUAUAUUUUAGAUAAUUUUCAUAAUUUUAAAUUUAUUAAAAUAAAUAAUUUGCUUUAAUUUUAAAAUGAAAGUAUUUUUUAGCUUAAAUUUUAAACUUAAAGUGUGAUUGACAUAUUCAAAUCAAACAAAUUGAAAAUUUCAGUAGUAAAAUCAAAAUUUUGAAAAAAUCGAGUAGUUGAUUCAAAAUGGUCGACAGUCCAAUUGAGUUAUGUAAGU
rnacentral:lncRNA from 1 species